UGUUGUUUUUCUGAAAAUCAAUUUAAGAACUGUUCAUUUUUAGUUGUUAAGACUUUAUCGGCUUACUGCUAUUUUUUGGAUUUUUCUUGAAUGCACUUUUCAGUUAACAAGUCAACAUCAAUUUCUUUUGUUGUAAAACAGUAAGAGGAAGGUGGCUUUAUCUUCGGAUGAAGUGUUUAUAGCCUUUUACUUCUGCAAUCGGAGAGAUUGAGGUCUGCAGCGUAGAUCCUUCGGGGUUAGAUACUUCUAUGCUAAGCUAUAGUCCUAUAUAGACAACUUGUUGACUAUGUUCGAUCCUGUAACUUACUCGUAGAUACUAUUUUACCUAC
rnacentral:rRNA from 1 species